UACGGAGGGUGCAAGCGUUAUCCGGAUUCACUGGGUUUAAAGGGUGCGUAGGUGGGCAAGUAAGUCAGUGGUGAAAUCUCCGGGCUUAACCCGGAAACUGCCAUUGAUACUAUUUGUCUUGAAUACUGUGCAGGUCAGCGGAAUAUGUCAUGUAGCGGUGAAAUGCUUAGAUAUGACAUAGAACACCAAUUGCGAAGGCAGCUGGCUACACAAAUAUUGACACUGAGGCACGAAAGCGUGGGGAUCAAACAGG
rnacentral:rRNA from 1 species